AGAGUUUGAUCCUGGCUCAGAACGAACGCUGGCGGCGUGCUUAACACAUGCAAGUCGAACGCGAAAGAGUUCUUCGGAACUUGAGUAGAGUGGCGCACGGGUGAGUAACGCGUAAGUGAUCUACCCCUGUAUCUGGAAUAACUAUGGGAAACUGUAGCUAAUACCGGAUACGUUCAUGUGAUUGCGAUUAUGUGAAGAAAGAUGGCCUCUGACAUAAGCUAUCGUACAGGGAGGAGCUUGCGUACCAUUAGCUAGUUGGCAGGGUAAAGGCCUACCAAGGCGACGAUGGUUAGCGGGUCUGAGAGGAUGAUCCGCCACACUGGAACUGAAACACGGACCAGACUCCUACGGGAGGCAGCAGUGAGGAAUAUUGCGCAAUGGGGGCAACCCUGACGCAGCGACGCCGCGUGGAUGAUGAAGGCCUUCGGGUCGUAAAAUCCUGUCGGAUGGAAAGAAGUGUGAUGUGGUUAAUACCCAUGUCAUUGACGUACCAUCAGAGAG
rnacentral:rRNA from 1 species